GGUGUGUGUGAGGGGAGUGUGUGAGGGGAGUGUGCGAGCGGGGGUGUGUGAGGGGCGUGUGUGAGCGGAGUGUGUGAGGGGCGUGUGUGAGCGGUGUGUGUGAGCGGAGUGUGUGAGCGGUGUGUGUGAGGGGAGUGUGUGAGGGGAGUGUGUGAGCGGGGUGUGUGAGUGGAGUGUGUGAGCGGUGUGUGUGAGCUGUGUGUGUGAGCGGUGUGUGUGAGCGGAGUGUGUGAGCGGUGUGUGUGAGCGGUGUGUGUGAGCGGUGUGUGUGAGCGGAGUGUGUGAGCGGUGUGUGUGAGCGGUGUGUGUGAGCGGUGUGUGUACCUGGUGCAGUGAGCCUGAGGUUCUGCUGGAGGGAGAGGACCAGCUGCCUGCUGAGCAGAGAGGUCGCCAUGACUCAGAACAACAGAAUGAGGCAGAGAGAGAAAGACAGUCCUCAACACCUGCCUUCAC
ensembl:lncRNA